UCUCAAUGAUACAUGUUAUUUCAUAAGCCAGGGAAAUACUUAUGUCAACAAUGGAUGUGUAAAGGAUGACAGCAAUAGCAGGCCAACAACCAAGGGGCAGCAUGUUUUCUCCGUGGCGUUUUUGUAUACCUGCCUCCGGAGAUUUUUUUAACCACUUCGAUGGCAGCUUUGGGAGAGUCCCCUGGUGACUGAAGUUGUAGCUGGUGAUGGACACAGCUCUUUCCACUAGUCUCUUUUAUUGCCAACGACCUGGACCUGUGAGACAUUCCCUCUCUCUCUCUCAGAACUAAAAUGCCUCUGUGCAGCUGGUUACACGCUUGGAGAUUUUAGGAAAUGAUACUGGACUCUAGGGCUUGGAACAGACUAAUUUCCAGCACCAUCAGCAAGGAGCUAGGAGAAAAAGCUCCUUACUCUGUUUCCCGCGAAUUGCUGCGUUUGCCAGCAAUGGAACUUGCAGGCCAGGGCUCCAAAGCAUUGCUUACGCAGCCAGGCAGAACGGGAGUAAAGAAAUCCUUCAGUCAUGUUUUCAUUCCCCAUGGCCAAGCUCCAAUAUCCAAAAUGGGAUUGCCAGAAUAGAAAUGCAGUUGUAUUUUGCCUCUGCUGACCUUCAGCAGCUGCAGCUCCAGCCCUGGGCCUCUGGAGAGCUCCGGGGAUGCACCUCUGCACUGAUGUGUCCGUCUCUGAUCCUCCUGCCUUGAGCUUAUCCCAAGCAGAGACUGCCGACUGACCUACCCAGCUGUGGGGGUUUUGUGGCAAGCCAAUGGAAACCUUUUCCCCAGCACAUACAAAUAUGCUUUGCAAGGCAAAAAUAAGCAGUGACGCAAACAUCACACUCCAUUUUAUUUUCCUUUGCUUCAGGAUAACAGGAAGGGGCAAAAAAGGAUUGACACUUGAUCCCACCAAGGGCUUUUUCUAAGAUGCCUGCUGGGAACACUCACUGUAUGCUUCUCUUCAGGAAAAAGGACAUUCAGAGGACCUUCACUGUAAGAGAGAAAGUAGAAGAGCUGUUAUACCUGCCCCACUGCGUGUGCUGCUAAGCAGAUGCUACACACAGGUCUGAACACGGCUCAAUGGCAACUCUCGGCUCAGUCUGCCAAGGCUCCAGCUCCGCACUGCUUCUCGGCAUCCUCCACCUUCUUUUUCAGAAGUAACAAAGACAUUUGAUUUCCUCCCACCCCUUCCCUGCCGCCCCUGUGCUCUCCCCCUCCCCCUCACUGGCACGGGGUUAUUUAGACAGAGUAUGGAAACAAUUUGCAGGCAAAGCGAACAAUGUAAUCCAGAGUGAGGCAGGGGAGACAAGUUUAUUGUGCAGGCUUACAGACCCAGGAGUGAAACACUGUGUUUUGGGGGUGAGAGGGAGUGGACUGUUUUCCCUUCUUUCUGCUCUUCUCUCUCAACAUCUCGCUGAACUGCUUUCCGUCUUGCUUUCCAUCUCUGGUCCA